AUGGCUCCCGCCGCAAAGCGGGGCGCCAAGGGCACCAAAUGGAACAGAGACCCGCAGCUCGGGGACCUCGUCCUCGCCAAGGUCAAGGGCUACCCUUUCUGGCCAGCCAAGGUGAGCAGGCCGGAGGAUUGGAAUCAGGAGCCCACUCCGCGCAAGUUCUUUGUCCUCUUCUUUGGCACCAAAGAGAUUGCUUUCGUAGGUUUGCCAGAUCUCCAGCCAUUUACAGAACAGGUGAAGAAUGACUUGGUAAAUCAAGCUCGAGAGAAAAGAUUUCCGAAAAGACAUGCGAAAGGUCUUGAAGAAGCCUUGGUGGAGAUAUGCAAGGCCUAUGACGAGCUGCCAAAAUCAUCUGAAACUGCCAAUGAUGUGUUGCCUGAUCAAACUCUUGAUAUGAGUGAGAAACCUACAGAAUCCCUUGUAAAGCCACCUGAUGAUGGUGAGACUCCAAGAGUGGAACAAAUGGAAGUUGAUAGUUCUGUGGACAACUUGAAUACUUUAAGGCACGGUUCAGGAACCGAGGAGAAUGUGAAAGAUGGUGGUCAUGACAGAAAGGACAUUGUUCCAGCAGUUAUUAAUAGGAAAAAACCUGCAGAAAAGGAUUCUGACCAUCCCAAGAAAAAGAAGCCUGUGACAUCGAAGUCAGCUACCAACAUGCACCUUGAACAAAUGGAAGUUGAUAGUUCUGUGGGCAACUUGAAUAAUUUAAGGCACGGUUCAGGAACUGAGGAGAACGUGAAAGAUGGUGGUCAUGACAGAAAGGAUACUUUUCCAACAGUUACUAAUAGGAAAAAAUCUGUAGAAAAGAAUUCUGACCAUCCCAAGAAAAAGAAGCCUGUCACAUCGAAGUCAGCUAUCAACAUGCACCUUGAACAAGCACGCUCACCAACCUCUCUGUUCUCAGGAAGAGAGACUGAAGGCCAAAAAGUUGGGAAAGAGGGCCGUCCAACUGAAGGUAUCCUUUUGGACCCUAAUGUAGAGAUAGUUUGUGCCCUUGAAGUGCCAAAGAAAGAUAAAUCCAAGAUGCAGUUGAAGACUGCUGACAGGGAGGAAAACAAGCAUGUCGAUGGCACUGGUAUUUCUGGGAGGACUACUCCUGAGGCUCUACCUGGUACUGUACCAGCCAAUAGUGCUGACAAAGAGAGCGGAGGAUUUAGAAAGCUGAAACCGAUGAUGAAACAAUCACUUAUGGACAAAUCAGAGAGAAGGUGCCCUAACAAAGUAAUGGUUGACAAGCCUAACAAGCAGUUGACUGUAAAAUCACCUGUUGUCUUGUCUUCCAAUAAGAAAUCUCUGCCUGGUAGUGGUCAGCGCAAGCCGGAGGGUAGCACUGAUAUGCGUCCGGCAAAGAGGCCAAAACUAGUAGACAGAGCCAAUGAAACAGUUAAGACAGGGGCAAAGAGUGAACUUAGGUUACCUGUUGAUAAUGGAAAGGAUAAUUCUGUGAAAAAUGAGAAAUCCACUUCCGUUGGAGCCAGAAACAACACAUUUCCCGAGACUGUAACCGCUGAUGGUAGGACAAGGAAAUCAGGUGUAGUUGUAUCACCCCUACCAAGGCCGCAUUCUGAGCGAAUGGAACAGGCACCUGGUUCUGCAACCAAGUUAAUUGGUUUUGAUACUGCUAAGAAGGGCUCCAGCAUGAGGGAGGAUGGCUCACGUGUUGGUAGGCCAUUGGCACAACCCAGGAGAAGAGCAUGUCGUUUCGAUGAUGAUGAGGAGGAAGAACAACGAACCCCACCUCAUAAAACUGUGGCCAAAUCAAUCUCCACUCAUGUAACCCCAACAGACAAGAUCCAUCAGACAGGUAUUCGGGGGAUUCCUUCAUCACAAGUUGGCAAUGUUUCUGCAAAAAAAUCUGGUUUGGCAAGAGAAGAGAAACCCAGAAGUGUUGGAAGGUCACCUGUGAAGCACGAGCCAAUUUAUUCACCAAGUCAAGGUAAAGUGCACGCUAGACCACAAAUGACUGGGCGAAAAUCGGCCACUAUCUCAGUUGACACUUCUUCUGCUUUGGGUAACAAGAUUAACCCGGCAGACCGCAAAUCCUCGGACCAAUUAAAAAAUCCAGGAUCAUCUGAAGUGAAGAAACCGCAAGGUAGUUCUUCUAAAGUAGUGCAGCAGACAUCUGGGAACUCUCACUCUCAAAGCCAUGCUACCUUAGAAAAGAAUGUACUUCUGUCUAAAUCAGAAAAUGCCAAGGUUAAAGCUAAGCCCAGCACACAGAUAGCUAUGACUGCCGAGAAUAGGUUAAGUGCCACUUUGUCAGAUGAACGAAGCGGGAAGCUGGAUCACUCUAAAGAGGACAGAUCAAAUUUUGUUGAUAAAGCAGAUUUCGCUGAGUCUAAUGCUGACUCUGACAAGUCAAUUAAGCGUCUUAUUGCAGCUGCCCAAGCAAAGAGAAACCAUCUUGCGUCUGGUCAAGGAAAUUCUGAUGGCUCUUCUGCAGAUAAUGCUGUUCUUGCUUCCGCAGCGUAUGGCUUGCCUGGACUAAGUCCUAGUCCUGUUUUUCACAUUCCUUCUGCAUCAAGAAAUGCUAUUUCAGAGGGUGACAUCAUGCAAUCUCAAGAUUCCAUCUGUGAACCUGGUCACCGAGUUGAUCUGAAAAAGCCAGCAGAAACUGACCAUGAACAUGAAAAGAGUCCGAAACCUAAGCAAUCCAGCAGUUCACUGGGUGGUGGUACUGAUGCAGCAAUUGCACGUGAUGCCCUGGAGGGAAUGAUAGAGACUCUGUCGAGGACAAAGGAUAGUAUAGGUCGUGCUACACGUCAUGCAAUCGAGUGCUUGAAACAUGGCAUUGCUGAAGAGAUUGUUGCGCUUCUCAUAAGGAAAAUCGAGAAUGAGCCUAAUUUGCAUCGCAAGGUUGAUCUCCUUUUUCUUUUGGACUCCAUAACACAGUGUUCUCACUCUCAGAAAGGCGUUGCUGGGGCUUCAUAUGUUCCCACUGUUCAAGCUGCAUUACCUCGUCUUUUGAGUGCUGCUGCUCCACCUGUAGCUGGUGCUCGUGAAAACCGACGCCAGUGCCUAAAAGUUUUAAGAUUGUGGCUAGAGAGAAAGAUUAUGCCAGAAAAUGUACUGCGAAAAUACAUGAAUGACAUAGAGGUGCCAAAUGAUAACACACACGCUGGUUUCAUGCUCAGGCGACCGUCCCGAGCUGAACGUUCUGUUGAUGACCCUAUUAGGGAGAUGGAUGACAUGCUUGUUGAUGAAUAUGGCAGUAAUACAACCAUUGAGUUCUCUGGAAUAUUAUCAUCAAAUGUCUUUGUAAAUGAUGAGGAUUUCCGUCGGAUUGAUGGGUCAUUGCCAGUUAUUUCACUGCGAGUUGGAGGGGGUGGGAUACAAGAAAGUGAAGAGAUUAUUGCUCCAAACUCUGUUGAGGAACACAUUACGGUACUAGAAAGUGCAACUAGUGAUGCUGUAAUGGAAGAUGCUUCAGUUUUACCAAGGAACAGUCAACAGAUAGAGGGAUCUACCCUCAUUGAGCAUGAUUCUAAGCAGGAAGCAGGUUCAGAGGAGGCAUUGACUAAUCAGUACGAGCUUCCCCCUCUACCUGAGGGUCCUCCACCUCUUCCACUGGAUUCAUUAUCUCCCCAGCCUUUACCUGAGGGCCCUCCACCUCUUCCAUUGGAUUCACCGCCUCCCCCACCUCCUUUGCCCCCUUCACCACCACCUGCUACACCACCUCCGCCGCCACCACCACUUUCACCAUCUUCGCCACCUCCACCGCCACCCCUGCCAUCUGGACCACCUCCGCAGCCUGCUCCACCACCUCCUCAUCCUUCAAUCCCGCCACCUGUUCCGUCAUCUCCAUCAUCACUGGGUUAUCAGCAUGCCAUGCCAGAAUAUUUUAGGCCUCCCAAUGGUAACCAACUAACAGGAAAUUCAUCAAUUCAAGGUGUUGGAAAUACGCCGAACUUUAUGCCUGCUGUACCAGUGAAUGCACAAGCUCCAGUUAAUUAUGCCCCAUCAUUGCCACCGGAUUAUGGAAGCAACAAUAUCUUUCUGCCACAGCAAGCUUCUAAUGGUAAUUAUCAGUUUCAGCCUGGUGUAUCUUUUCAUCAAGGGGCUUUCAGUGCUUUCCCAUCGGCACAAACACCACCAGUUCACCCCCACACUCAUCACACACACAUUAACCCCAUGGGCCAACAAUCUGUACCACCUCCAUGCAAUUCUUAUGGUGUACAGCCCUUUCCAAAUAGUCAAAGCCAGUAUACAUCGGAAGAACAGUGGCGAAUGACAUCUGGUAACUUCAGUCCAGAUGACCAGCAUAAUACCUGGUUACCAGGUGGCAGAUCACUAUCUUGUUCAGACGGGUCAUUCAUGCAGGAUGGGUAUCCGAGGUCGAACAUUGACAGAUCUUCAAUGAAUCCAAUGAGUCAUCAACAUGCUGUACUUAACCAUUUGCCGUCUGGAGCACCACAUCCAGGCCAUGUUGUUCCUCACAUGCUGCCAGCCAAGCCUGAUAUUCAUGCACUUAAUUGCUGGAGGCCUUCUGGAUGA
rnacentral:rRNA from 1 species